CCAGGGAGAAAGUACCCAGUCCUAACCACGGAGAGACCAAGCCUUCUCAUCUGAAUGAAACAAAGGCAAUCCCUGUAGCCUGCUCUCCAUAGAGGUGGCUGUGCCCACCGGAAGCUGCCCUGCACCCUUGGCUGUUUGUCAAUGAUGACGCCGAUGAAGAGAUUGAGCGUGAAAAAGGAGCCAAAGAUGAUGAAGAUGACGAAGUAAAGGUACAUGUAGAUGUUCACCUCAUAGUGCGGCUGCUCCUCCUUCUGCAAGACCCUGUGUUCACCUGUGACUUCCGCUCUCUCGGACCUCUGGGGAUCUUCACUAAAGUGCCCCUGAAGCCAAAGGCAUGGUUCCACGCUCAAGAUGGGCAGGCUCAGUACUGAAGCAGAAGUACUUGCUCACGUGUUCCUGUUACAGGGCCCUGGGGGCCCCCAAUCUGAGGUGGGGAGACCCGUAAACCCACAGGCCAACCUUCCUUCCUCUUGCCUCAAGCCUUCCGGGCCACUGCAGCAGCCUCUGCUGCCCUCCAGUGGUGGCAGGGAUCUCAUCCCUGGUGGAUGAUCCUGUCUGGUGGGAAGAGUAGCCUGUGACCUCUAGUACCCCUCAAUGAUGUCACCUAUGACAGUAAAUGGGAAAGAUAGUGCCUGUCUCGUGUGGUCCUGUAUGCCUAUCAAAGAACAUAUGAACAGGCAUCAUAAGGCCCCAGGCCUGGUCUGGAAGCAAGAAGUCAGCCUAUAGGGAGCAGUGAUGACCUGGGGGCCUGACUCUCUGCGUGAAUUUGGAGAGGUCCCACCUCCAAGAGCCUGGGCUCCCUAAAGGUCUUGACAUCUGACUGUGUGACCAGACCCAGGGGGACUCACGUCCACA